rnacentral:rRNA from 1 species
UACAGAGGGUGCGAGCGUUGUUCGGAUUUACUGGGCGUAAAGGGCGCGUAGGCGGUCAGCACAAGUCAGUUGUGAAAUCUCCGGGCUUAACUCGGAAAGGUCAACUGAUACUGUGCGACUAGAGUGCAGAAGGGGCAACUGGAAUUCUCGGUGUAGCGGUGAAAUGCGUAGAUAUCGAGAGGGAACACCUGCGGCGAAGGCGGGUUGCUGGGCUGACACUGACCACUGAGAGGACGAAAGCUAGGGGAGCGAAUGGG